UACGUAGGGGGCGAGCGUUGUCCGGAAUCAUUGGGCGUAAAGAGCUCGCAGGCGGUUCAGCAAGUCGGCUGUGAAAUUCCGAGGCUCAACCUCGGAACUGCAGUCGAUACUGCUGUGACUCGAGUCCGGUAGAGGAGAAUGGAAUUCCCGGUGUAGCGGUGAAAUGCGCAGAUAUCGGGAGGAACACCAGUAGCGAAGGCGGUUCUCUGGGCCGGUACUGACGCUGAGGAGCGAAAGCGUGGGGAGCAAACAGG
rnacentral:rRNA from 1 species